CCUUUGUACACACCGCCCGUCGCUACUACCGAUUGAAUGGCUUAGUGAGGCCUCCGGAUUGACACAUAGCAAGUGGCAACACCUGCUUGAAGUCGAAAAGCUGGUCAAACUUGGUCAUUUAGAGG
rnacentral:rRNA from 1 species